UUGAACGCUGGCGGCAGGCCUAACACAUGCAAGUCGAACGGUAACAGGAAGCAGCUUGCUGCUUUGCUGACGAGUGGCGGACGGGUGAGUAAUGUCUGGGAAACUGCCUGAUGGAGGGGGAUAACUACUGGAAACGGUAGCUAAUACCGCAUAACGUCGCAAGACCAAAGAGGGGGACCUUCGGGCCUCUUGCCAUCGGAUGUGCCCAGAUGGGAUUAGCUUGUUGGUGGGGUAACGGCUCACCAAGGCGACGAUCCCUAGCUGGUCUGAGAGGAUGACCAGCCACACUGGAACUGAGACACGGUCCAGACUCCUACGGGAGGCAGCAGUGGGGAAUAUUGCACAAUGGGCGCAAGCCUGAUGCAGCCAUGCCGCGUGUAUGAAGAAGGCCUUCGGGUUGUAAAGUACUUUCAGCGGGGAGGAAGGGAGUAAAGUUAAUACCUUUACUCAUUGACGUUACCCGCAGAAGAAGCACCGGCUAACUCCGUGCCAGCAGCCGCGGUAAUACGGAGGGUGCAAGCGUUAAUCGGAAUUACUGGGCGUAAAGCGCACGCAGGCGGUUUGUUAAGUCAGAUGUGAAAUCCCCGGGCUCAACCUGGGAACUGCAUCUGAUACUGGCAAGCUUGAGUCUCGUAGAGGGGGGUAGAAUUCCAGGUGUAGCGGUGAAAUGCGUAGAGAUCUGGAGGAAUACCGGUGGCGAAGGCGGCCCCCUGGACGAAGACUGACGCUCAGGUGCGAAAGCGUGGGGAGCAAACAGGAUUAGAUACCCUGGUAGUCCACGCCGUAAACGAUGUCGACUUGGAGGUUGUGCCCUUGAGGCGUGGCUUCCGGAGCUAACGCGUUAAGUCGACCGCCUGGGGAGUACGGCCGCAAGGUUAAAACUCAAAUGAAUUGACGGGGGCCCGCACAAGCGGUGGAGCAUGUGGUUUAAUUCGAUGCAACGCGAAGAACCUUACCUGGUCUUGACAUCCACAGAACUUUCCAGAGAUGGAUUGGUGCCUUCGGGAACUGUGAGACAGGUGCUGCAUGGCUGUCGUCAGCUCGUGUUGUGAAAUGUUGGGUUAAGUCCCGCAACGAGCGCAACCCUUAUCCUUUGUUGCCAGCGGUCCGGCCGGGAACUCAAAGGAGACUGCCAGUGAUAAACUGGAGGAAGGUGGGGAUGACGUCAAAUCAUCAUGCCCUUUAUGACCUGGGCUACACACGUACUACAAUGGCGUUAAACAAAGAGAAGCAAGACCGCGAGGUGGAGCAAAACUCAGAAACAACGUCCCAGUUCGGACUGCAGGCUGCAACUCGCCUGCACGAAGUCGGAAUUGCUAGUAAUCGUGGAUCAGCAUGCCACGGUGAAUACGUUCCCGGGCCUUGUACACACCGCCCGUCACACCAUGGGAGUGGGUUGCAAAAGAAGUAGGUAGCUUAACCUUCGGGAGGGCGCUUACCACUUUGUGAUUCAUGACUGGGGUG
rnacentral:rRNA from 1 species